AUUUUUUUUUAAUUGGGGUGUUUUGAGUAGAUCGACGGCACUUUUGAUUUCAAAUUUUUAAUGUAUUAUUUAUCAUUAUAGAUUUAAUUAUUAUAUUUCAUAUAAUUUUUGUAUAAUUAUAAAUUUACUAAAAUAAAUAAUUAAUUCGAAUACUGUGGAUUGACUCAAAUCAAAUAAGGAUAAUAAGUCCCGUUCCAUAAUUCAGAUAGGUUUUGUACAUUUUUACAUUUUGUAAAUAAACUAGAGAACUUUUA
rnacentral:lncRNA from 1 species